GACGAACGCUGGCGGCGUGCCUAAUACAUGCAAGUAGAACGCUGAAGGAGGAGCUUGCUCUUCUGGAUGAGUUGCGAACGGGUGAGUAACGCGUAGGUAACCUGCCUGGUAGCGGGGGAUAACUAUUGGAAACGAUAGCUAAUACCGCAUAACAGUAGAUGUUGCAUGACAUUUGCUUAAAAGGUGCAAUUGCACCACUACCAGAUGGACCUGCGUUGUAUUAGCUAGUUGGUGGGGUAACGGCUCACCAAGGCGAGGAUACAUAGCCGACCUGAGAGGGGGAUCGGCCACACUGGGACUGAGACACGGCCCAGACUCCUACGGGAGGCAGCAGUAGGGAGUCUUCGGCAAUGGACGGAAGUCUGACCGAGCAACGCCGCGUGAGUGAAGAAGGUUUUCGGAUCGUAAAGCUCUGUUGUAAGAGAAGAACGAGUGUGAGAGUGGAAAGUUCACACUGUGACGGUAUCUUACCAGAAAGGGACGGCUAACUACGUG
rnacentral:rRNA from 1 species